AGUCGAACGGGAAUCUUCGGAUUCUAGUGGCGGACGGGUGAGUAACGCGUAAGAAUCUAACUUCAGGACGGGGACAACAGUUGGAAACGACUGCUAAUACCCGAUGUGCCGCAAGGUGAAAACUAAUUGGCCUGAAGAAGAGCUUGCGUCUGAUUAGCUAGUUGGUGGGGUAAGAGCCUACCAAGGCGACGAUCAGUAGCUGGUCUGAGAGGAUGAGCAGCCACACUGGGACUGAGACACGGCCCAGACUCCUACGGGAGGCAGCAGUGGGGAAUUUUCCGCAAUGGGCGAAAGCCUGACGGAGCAACGCCGCGUGAGGGAGGAAGGUCUUUGGAUUGUAAACCUCUUUUCUCAAGGAAGAAGUUCUGACGGUACUUGAGGAAUCAGCCUCGGCUAACUCCGUGCCAGCAGCCGCGGUAAUACGGGGGAGGCAAGCGUUAUCCGGAAUUAUUGGGCGUAAAGCGUCCGCAGGUGAUCAGCCAAGUCUGCCGUCAAAUCAGGUUGCUUAACGACCUAAAGGCGGUGGAAACUGGCAGACUAGAGAGCAGUAGGGGUAGCAGGAAUUCCCAGUGUAGCGGUGAAAUGCGUAGAGAUUGGGAAGAACAUCGGUGGCGAAAGCGUGCUACUGGGCUGUAUCUGACACUCAGGGACGAAAGCUAGGGGAGCGAAAGGGAUUAGAUACCCCUGUAGUCCUAGCCGUAAACGAUGGAUACUAGGCGUGGCUUGUAUCGACCCGAGCCGUGCCGAAGCUAACGCGUUAAGUAUCCCGCCUGGGGAGUACGCACGCAAGUGUGAAACUCAAAGGAAUUGACGGGGGCCCGCACAAGCGGUGGAGUAUGUGGUUUAAUUCGAUGCAACGCGAAGAACCUUACCAAGACUUGACAUGUCGCGAACCCUGGUGAAAGCUGGGGGUGCCUUCGGGAGCGCGAACACAGGUGGUGCAUGGNUGUCGUCAGCUCGU
rnacentral:rRNA from 1 species